rnacentral:rRNA from 1 species
GAGUGGCGAACGGGUGAGUAAUAUAUCGGAACGUGCCCUAGAGUGGGGGAUAACUAGUCGAAAGACUAGCUAAUACCGCAUACGAUCUACGGAUGAAAGUGGGGGAUCGCAAGACCUCAUGCUCGUGGAGCGGCCGAUAUCUGAUUAGCUAGUUGGUAGGGUAAAAGCCUACCAAGGCAUCGAUCAGUAGCUGGUCUGAGAGGACGACCAGCCACACUGGGACUGAGACACGGCCCAGACUCCUACGGGAGGCAGCAGUGGGGAUUUUGGACAAUGGGGGCAACCCUGAUCCAGCAAUGCCGCGUGAGUGAAGAAGGCUUCGGGUUGUAAAGCUCUUUUGUCAGGGAAGAAACG